rnacentral:tRNA from 1 species
CGGAGCGUAGCGCAGCCUGGUAGCGCACUUGCUUCGGGAGCAAGGGGUCGGGGGUUCAAAUCCCUCCGCUCCGACCA